AACGAACGCUGGCGGCAGGCUUAACACAUGCAAGUCGAGCGCCCCGCAAGGGGAGCGGCAGACGGGUGAGUAACGCGUGGGAACGUACCCUUUACUACGGAAUAACGCAUGGAAACGUGUGCUAAUACCGUAUGUGCCCUUUGGGGGAAAGAUUUAUCGGUAAAGGAUCGGCCCGCGUUGGAUUAGCUAGUUGGUGGGGUAAAGGCCUACCAAGGCGACGAUCCAUAGCUGGUCUGAGAGGAUGAUCAGCCACAUUGGGACUGAGACACGGCCCAAACUCCUACGGGAGGCAGCAGUGGGGAAUAUUGGACAAUGGGCGCAAGCCUGAUCCAGCCAUGCCGCGUGAGUGAUGAAGGCCCUGGGGUUGUAAAGCUCUUUCACCGGUGAAGAUAAUGACGGUAACCGGAGAAGAAGCCCCGGCUAACUUCGUGCCAGCAGCCGCAGUAAGAC
rnacentral:rRNA from 1 species